rnacentral:rRNA from 1 species
GUAGGUGGCAAGCGUUGUCCGGAAUUAUUGGGCGUAAAGCGCGCGCAGGCGGUUCUUUAAGUCUGAUGUGAAAGCCCACGGGCUCAACCGUGGAGGGUCAUUGGAAACUGGAGAACUUGAGUACAGAAGAGGAAAGCGGAAUUCCGCGUGUAGCGGUGAAAUGCGUAGAGAUGUGGAGGAACACCAGUGGCGAAGGCGGCUUUCUGGUCUGUAACUGACGCUGAGGCGCGAAAGCGUGGGGAGCAAACAGGGUUAGAUACCCUGGUAGUCCACGCCGUAAACGAUGAGUGCUAAGUGUUAGGGGGUUUCCGCCCCUUAGUGCUGCAGCUAACGCAUUAAGCACUCCGCCUGGGGAGUACGGCCGCAAAGGCUG